GGACGCAUCACUGGUGUUCGGGUUGUCAUGCCAAUGGCACUGCCCGGUAGCUAAAUGCGGAAGAGAUAAGUGCUGAAAGCAUCUAAGCACGAAACUUGCCCCGAGAUGAGUUCUCCCUGACUCCUUGAGAGUCCUGAAGGAACGUUGAAGACGACGACGUUGAUAGGCCGGGUGUGUAAGCGCAGCGAUGCGUUGAGCUAACCGGUACUAAUGAACCGUGAGGCUUAACCUU
rnacentral:rRNA from 1 species